UACGUAGGCAGCAAGCGUUGUUCGGAGUUACUGGGCGUAAAGAGUGCGUAGGCGGUCCUGUAAGUUUGGUGUGAAAUCUCCCGGCUCAACUGGGAGGGUGCGCCGAAGACUGCAGGGCUUGAGUAUGGGAGAGGUAAGCGGAAUUCCUGGUGUAGCGGUGAAGUGCGUAGAUAUCGGAAGGAACACCAGUGGCGAAAGCGGCUUCCUGGUCCAGCACCGACGUUCAGGCACGAAAGCGUGGGGAGCAAACAGG
rnacentral:rRNA from 1 species